ensembl:lncRNA
UGUAAAUAUUAUACACAGAAAGAAUUUAUGCCUCUUUAGGUACCUGCACUCUGUGGAAGGAUAAGCAUGGAUAUUUUUAAGAGAAGAAAAAGUCACUGAGAAUUUUAAGCAGGCUAAGAAGCUCUUUCUCAGCAGAAGUUCAUCUACUGAACAGGACGGGUGCACACUGAAGCAUGACUGCACAGUGUAUCAAAUUGCAAAUGUGUUCUGGGAACCAAGUGCAAAACUCAGUGCUUACCACUGUGAAAGAAGAGAGAUGAGCACAGAGGAUUUAUCAAC